UUUAUGCAUACAGAAGAAAGAUGACCAGUUUCUAGCUUCAGCAUGAGAUUAGGGUAGCUGUUAGAUGCACGGUCCAUUCUUUCUUCUAUAAAUACGUAUCAGCUCGAACAACCCACCCUCUGGUUUCUGCAAGUGCGUUUUCACAUCUUCAUCUUCAAGAGAAAUUAACUUGUAAACCAAAACAGCAAAAAGAGGGUUUAUGUUUUCAAGAACACGCUAUUGGAAAAGCAGAUGCAGCAGUUAAGUGUUAUUGAAUCCAACAUAUAUAUCUCAAGAACUGUUAUUUUUUUCCCCUUUGGUUAAGAACAGUUUUUUCUCAUGAGCUAGCUAACCCGUCGCAGCCAUACAACCGGAGCUACAUUCCGGUGAACCAGCUCCUCCAGCCUAAUCAGCAUUUCUCCUUCCAAGACCAACCUCCUCUCCAGCUUGUCUAAUAAAUCCGAGGUUAUGGGUACACAUAUUCACUCGAGCGAGACGAUAUAUGUGUAUGUACAUAUAUGCACGUAUAUGGUCCGAUGAUGUCUAUGUUGACCUUUAAGUCCAUGCUUAAACCUAAAUCCAUAUACUCACAUUUCUUUAGUUUCUUCGCACUGAAAUUCAGUCGGGUUAUCGAGUGUUUACGUCA